rnacentral:lncRNA from 1 species
AUAGAAAUUGCAAUAACAAGAUCUUAAUUCUAAUAGAAUAUUAAUAAUAUUCUAAUUAGACCAUAAUAAUGCUAAACAAGCUUAAUCAAAUUCAAAAAUACCUCAAAUAAAUUUCAAACAAAGAAUAAGAAUUCUUAAAGAAAUAUUAGAAGGAUCACAAAUAUCACUCAAAUACAUCUCAAUUCAAUCUUAAUUUAAUUCUAGUUAAAAUCCUAUUGAAUUUCAUUCAAACUUUAGGCCAAACCUAAUUCAAUCUUAAAUCCUAAUAAAAUCCUAAAUCCUAAAUCAAAUCCUAAACAAACCUUAAACCAAAUCCCAAUUAAAUCCUAAACCAAAUCCUAAAUCCUAAAUCAAACCCUAAUCAAAUCCUAAUCCAAAUCCUAAAUCCUAAAUCAAAUCCUAAUCCAAACCAUAAAUCCUAAAUCCUAAAUCAAACCCUAAUCAAAUCCUAAAUCCUAAAUAAAAUCCUAAUAAAAUCCUAAAU